GGGACUGGUCGGGGACCCACCAGGUGAGCAGAGCCUAGAGGGGCUGGGGGAGGUUUCGGGCUCCUAGGCCAGGGCUUCACUUUCCCAGGGGGUUUUCAAGGGAAUGAGAGCCUCUAAGAUCCUGGAGGACCACUGAACCCUUCCCGUGUGGGGUCCUUUACUCUGGGCAUCCCUGGUGGGCACAGGUCCACGCAAUUGCAUGGAAACACAGUCCGCGGCCCCCCAGUAACUAACUACCCGCGUGGGGGUCAAAGGAUGAGUGGACCUUGGAGGUGACAGGGGUUGGGGGAGAGAACAGGUGUGGGCAGGGACAUUGUCUCCAGGGAACAUGCCCAUGAGGGCAGCCACGCCAGGCCGAUAGCCAGGGGAUCCUCAAAUGCCCCCGUGUGUAUCACAGGCACCCCCAUUCUAGAGAAGCACCCCACUCAGCUCCCGUGGUUGGAGACCUUCGAAUGCGCAACGUGUUCUCAUGCUGUGUCCUGAUAUCUCGAGGCUGUGGUCUCAGGAAAGCCCACAGGGAGAGCCUUUUCCCACUUCCAGACGGUGGGUCCGGUCUCACCCCCAAAGCCUCUGGUCACGUGCCCGGAGGGACGCAAAGGUGACACCAGAAGGCCCAGAACUGGCCGGUCUAGCCUGACACGGCCCUGAUCCGACUGGCCCACCCCUUCCUCAUCCUCCAUGGCCACGUGUGCCCACGAGCCUCACGGGAUAGCAGGCACGGGACGUGUCUACAGGUGGCUCCCUGAUGGCGCCCCUACGAGUAGAUGCCACAAGGACACCACUGUGCAGACGGCGAGACCGGUUGGCCCCGGGAGGCACAGGGUCUGUGCGGGGUCCCAGCACUGGUCAGGAGGAAAACCCAGGGACCAAUUGAACUCAGAACCCGGGUCACCAGGCACCCACCUUCUGGAGACAGCACCCUACUGGGCUCAUUCGUUGGGACACCUUUGCCUGACGAACAUGUUCUGUUGUGUGCCCGUGUCCCGCGGCUGCCGGCUCAGGGGAGCCCGCGGCCGCGACGCUUCCCCACCCUGGAGACAGUGGGUCAGGUUGUGCACAGGACGCCUCAGGUCUCUAGCUCGCAGGGACCCAAAGGUAACACAGGGAGACCCAGAGACAGCCAGUCCAGCCCGACACUGCUCUGAUCUGACCUGUGCGGCCCCACGUCCCCUCCCGUGUGUGUGUGUGUGUGUGUGUGUGUGUGUGUCUGUGUGUCUGUGUGUGUGUGUGUGUGUGUGUGGAAGGAGGGGUCGUGUGUGGAGGUCCCGCCUGAGCAAGUGCAGGCUGAUGAAGGGGUCGGAUGCCUGGUGGGCGGGUCAGGCUCACAUCCCCGUCAAGGCUGGAUGGGAGGGACAGGGUCUGCUGGGGUGGCCCUCUUGUCCCCAACGUUCAUCCCAAGCCCUGCAGGUGGAUGUCACUGUUUCCCAGGGGCAGGUCUGUGCACAUUCAGGUCUGUGUCCGAUAUGGGAGCCGCAGGUGGAGAGGGAGGACGGACACUGAGAAUGGCCGAGCGGGCUGUGAUGUCUCCGGGCCAUCCGCGGGACACUGUCUUUACAGAAAUCAACCGAUGAAAUAGGGAAACGAUUGGCGGAAUCCCGAUUCACCCGCCCUACAGAGUUGUGCGUGUGCCCCGUCACCCAGGAGGGCCACCCUGGACCCAGAGAGAGAGUGGCCGCACGCAGGUCUCCGGAAGUAGGGCCUGGAGUUGGCCUGGGAAGGCCUCCUUCACCGCCCUGGCCCCUCCACAGGGUCCUGGUUCACGGGUCCUGGGAUGAGGACCCGGAGCCCCCGGAGCCAGAGCCCGAGGGUGAGAAGG